rnacentral:rRNA from 1 species
CGUCUAUAUACGUAUAGCAUAUCAAUAAGCGGAGGAAAAGAAACUAACUAGGAUUCCCUCAGUUACGGCGAGUGAAGCGGGAAGAGCUCAAAUUUGAAAUCUUCAAGGUUUUACCUUGACGAAUUGUAGUUUAAAGAAGUGUUUUCUGUUGGAGUUUUGGUAAAAGUUCUUUGGAAAAGGACAUCAUAGAGGGUGAGAAUCCCGUAUUUGACCAUUAUUUUCAGCUGUGUGAUACACUUUCAAAGAGUCGGAUUGUUUGGGAAUGCAGUCCAAAAUGGGUGGUAAAUUUCAUCUAAAGCUAAAUAUUGGCGAGAGACCGAUAGCGAACAAGUACCGUGAGGGAAAGAUGAAAAGAACUUUGAAAAGAGAGUUAAACAGUACGUGAAAUUGUCAAAAGGGAAGCGUUUGACACCAGUGUUGUUUUUCCGAAAAUCAAUUACGAAUGGCUUGAUUUUGUGUUGUAUUGACCUUAUCAACUUUCUGCACUUUUUUCGAGUCUUUCUUAAUGCACUUUUCGGUUAACAAGUCAACAUCAAUUUCUUUUGUUGUAAAAGAGUAUUCGGAAGGUGGCUUUCUUUUCGGAGAAAGUGAUUUAUAGCCCUAUACUUCUACAAUCGGAGAGAUUGAGGUCUGCAGCGUAGAUCCUUCGGGGUUAGAUACAUUUGUGCUAAGUUAGUAGCUUUUCAUAGACAACUUGUUGACUAUGUUUAGUCAUUGUAGGCUUACUCGCUUACUGCUAUUUUACCUACGCUUAGGAUGUUGACUGAUAUGUAGUCGUA